CCUACGGGUGGCUGCAGUGGGGAAUAUUGGACAAUGGGGGGAACCCUGAUCCAGCCAUGCCGCGUGUGUGAAGAAGGCCCUCGGGUUGUAAAGCACUUUCAGUGAGGAAGAACGCCUGGUGGUUAAUACCCAUCAGGAAAGACAUCACUCACAGAAGAAGCACCGGCUAACUCCGUGCCAGCAGCCGCGGUAAUACGGAGGGUGCGAGCGUUAAUCGGAAUUACUGGGCGUAAAGCGCGCGUAGGUGGCUUGAUAAGCCGGUUGUGAAAGCCCCGGGCUCAACCUGGGAACGGCAUCCGGAACUGUCAAGCUAGAGUGCAGGAGAGGAAGGUAGAAUUCCCGGUGUAGCGGUGAAAUGCGUAGAGAUCGGGAGGAAUACCAGUGGCGAAGGCGGCCUUCUGGACUGACACUGACACUGAGGUGCGAAAGCGUGGGUAGCAAACAGGAUUAGAUACCCCGGUAGUG
rnacentral:rRNA from 1 species